GUCAGCUGUGGGCAACUCCCUAGGUUGCACUGUACCUAGGCAAGUGUCACACUGCUGGGGGAAUAGCAGUUAAUAGUUGGUGGGCAUGCUGGGUCCGGUUAAUACCAAAAUUGUGUUAACUAUACCAGUGUGCCAGUAGAGUUGCCUAUUCUAUUUUUAAAAAAA
ensembl:snoRNA SNORA74 Small nucleolar RNA SNORA74